UACGUAGGGUGCAAGCGUUAAUCGGAAUUACUGGGCGUAAAGCGUGCGCAGGCGGUUAUGCAAGACAGAUGUGAAAUCCCCGGGCUUAACCUGGGAACCGCAUUUGUGACUGCAUAGCUGGAGUACGGCAGAGGGGGAUGGAAUUCCGCGUGUAGCAGUGAAAUGCGUAGAUAUGCGGAGGAACACCGAUGGCGAAGGCAGUCCCCUGGGCCUGUACUGACGCUGAGGAGCGAAAGCGUGGGGAGCAAACGGG
rnacentral:rRNA from 1 species